ensembl:lncRNA
GGCGGAGACGCUGUGUAUUACUCUAAGUGGGACAAGCCGAGGCUGCAGGGUCCAGGGGAAAGGAUAAUGAUGCAGUGAAGCUCCUCGAGAAGUCCUUUGGUGUAUGAAGCCCUUUUGUACCCAUCCAUCCUGCAGCUUCCCUGUUGGAGAUUUGAGACGGGAUACAGUUUCAUCACUAGGAAAACACAUACAGAUCAUAAGCAUUAUCCACCCAGUGUGACUUCACCCAUCCUGCCCUCUGGUGACACAAGCUGCCCUUGUUAAGUGGCUCCAGUCCCUCUCCUCGUUUACAGGUGAAAUCUAUUCUCACACACAGGCCUCAAGGGCCCAACUGGACUGUAACAGAAUUUCUCCACCCCCGCUGGGCCCCAGCCACAAAGCUGAGAAUAAAUGGCUAAGGUGCCAGGGCUGGACAGAAAAAUCAAUGCCUGUUUAUACAGACAUGACAGUCCCGGCGCCCAAGCAAUUCUCAUGCUUGCUCCUCUAGACGCUGUGUUAUACUGUUUUUUUUUUUUUUAUCUUCUCCUCUCUCUCUCAUGUGUCGUGCUCUUUCCUCUGCUGAGGACAAAAUGUGUGCACUCCUGAGAGGACGGAACAGUAGGUGAUGCCGCUCUGCUCAUUUUGUCCUCAAAUUGUUCUCUCCGCAUGCUGAUGUAUUGAAUGAGAUCAGCUGAAUGUUUUUGAUAGACUAACUGUCACAAAAACAGUUUCAUUGAUGUUUCGCUGAUUAAAUACAGAGCACACCGUGGGGCCACGUGCUACAGCAGGAUACUGUUUCUCAACUGGAGGGUCACAACCCCAAAAGCGUUUUACAGACAUGUAGAGACAGGGUCGCACAGUGGACUCGAAAAUGUUUAAAUGCUUCAGAUAUUCUUCUUUAUUCCUUUUAUUUACCCUAAUGAGCAUAGGUUUCAUGACCUUGAUCUACCUUAAAAAUAUUCCUUACUACCUGCUUUUAUGCUCUUUUCUCCUUUAGGACAAAGCACAGAGCUGAGGCAUUAGGAAUGGUGUGCAUGUGACUCUCUGUAUUCAGAUGAUGGACACAUGAACCACGUUUCGAACUGUUGAUCAGACAAAACAAGCCUUUAAAACAUGACUUCUUACAUUUCCUGGCCAUCGCGAAGGGUGCUUUCACCAUUUGUCUUAAUUAAUGAAGAAAAUAAGAAUUAAUUGUAGCCUAGAUCGAGUGCCAAUAAUGCAUCUGUUUUCAAAGAAGAAUAAUUGUGGCAGGGUUGUCCAUUGAUCCAAACAUAUUGAUCUUAGAGUAUUUGAAACUUUUUAACUUGCAUCAUUACUGUGACAAGCCGUGCUUUCUGUCAAGUUGACUCGAACAACGCACUGCCCAGAGAGCCCGGCCUCCUCUCAUUCAGUGGGUCACUCACGCAGUGUGCCUGCUUCUCAUCACAUGUCAUGUUACAGCACUGUCUUUAUCUUUUAUCGAGGACAAUUCAUACCCCCGGGUGUUGCGGCAAUUCUUUUUUUUUUUUUUUUUUUACCCAAUGGCAUCAAUAUUUUUUAAGUUAACAAUUCCAGAGUGGCGACAACGCUAAUAGCAGCCAUUCUUUAUUCUUCAUUCCAAAAUGUUCCCUAAUACACAUUUUUCAUCCUUCACUAGUAUUUGUUUUUGCUGCUGUUGAUCUAUUCAGCAUUCUUUGCCUUAUUCUUUCUUAUUGAUUUUUUUCUGUUGUUUUUUGUGGAUGUCUUUGAUUUUAUCUUUGUUCGCUCUCGUGUCGGUGUCUGCGUCUCAACUUUGUAUGUGCUGCAUGUGCUUUGUGCAGCGGGUUGUGCGAUUCUCAGGGGGAGGUAGCACAUACUUGUAACUCAUUCUGAUUUAUGCCCCCUGUCUAAAUAAAAACAUAAAUCACAGCACCUGCCACAGAAGUCACUCUCACAGUGGUCUAGCUGGUCCAGCUCUGAUCUGGGUUGUGCUGUUUUACCCCGAUGACAGAAACACAAUUGAUUCCCUCAUUGCAUCAAUUUGUCGCCUAAUCUGGUGAUAUGUUGAUAAAUUUUACUGCUUCGUCAAUUAAUUUUCCUGAAAAAUGGCUCCGGCCGCGGUGGACACAUCAGUACUAAGGCGGUGGAAAUAACGGUGACAAAAUUAAGUGAUAAAAUUAAUUGCCCCCUAUCCCGUCUUGUGAAAACAUAACUAAUGAGGGAGGCAAUUAUAGUUGCAUGUGGUCUCCUUCGGGAAAGAUGGAGGGGGUGUUUGAAAAAAUACUUCUAUGGUAAUUAGACAAGUGGGAGCAGAAGGAUCUGGGGAAAUGGUCA